rnacentral:rRNA from 1 species
UACGGAGGAUGCGAGCGUUAUCCGGAUUUAUUGGGUUUAAAGGGUGCGUAGGCGGGACCUUAAGUCAGCGGUAAAAUUGCGGGGCUCAACCCCGUCGAGCCGUUGAAACUGGCAGACUUGAGUGAGUGAGAAGUAAGCGGAAUGCGUGGUGUAGCGGUGAAAUGCAUAGAUAUCACGCAGAACGCCGAUUGCGAAGGCAGCUUACCGGCGCUCAACUGACGCUGAGGCACGAAAGUGCGGGUAUCGAACAGG